ensembl:snRNA U6 U6 spliceosomal RNA
UCCCUCACUUCAUAUUGUCACCUUGAAAAUUUGGUUAUGAUACAGAGAAAAUUAGCAUGGCUCCCGUGUAAUGAUGACACGCAAAUUCGUGAACCAUUCCAUAUUUUU